rnacentral:tRNA from 1 species
CGUGGCUUAGUGGUAAAGACACCAGGCCAAUAACCUAGGGGUCGCAGGUUCGAGCCC